rnacentral:tRNA from 1 species
GCGUCGGUGGUGCAAGGCGUGGCAUCGCUGCCCGCAAAACAGAAGGUGCGGGUUCGAGUCCCGCCUGAAGCA